rnacentral:lncRNA from 1 species
CUGCCUCCAGAUGUCUGGUGCUGCCAUUAACGAGCCCACAAGACCUGCAUUUGGUGCAGACAUUUCACCAGGAUGAUAGGCAAGAAAUUGAGUUAGGGGCUGCUGCAGUGUUCCCAAAGCUGUCCAGCUGUCUCCUCUUAUUUCAGGACCAGGGCAGUCUGGCUUUUUUCUCCAUCUGUGGGGAAAGCUGGACUCGUGGGUGUGAGACCGUGGUUGACUUAGGAAACUGAAACCAUGGACGAAGGAUUGCUGAAACCUCAACUGAGACAACUGCUGGGACAGUUUUGGCUAAAAGCACUGACUAAGGGCCUCGCUCAUCUGUGGACCAAAAGCUGGGAAUAUAGGGUUGUACCACCCUGCCCCAUGUACGGUGUUUGGCAUUGAACCCAGGCCUUCCUGCCUGUUUGGAAGACUCUGAUUUCAGUUGGAAACAACAGUGUGCCCACAUGAAAGACUGAAGCUCUCCCCUGAAGAUAACAGUGGUCAAAAGACAGAGCCCGAGUACAGAUCUCAUGAAAGUUCUUUAAAGGGCAGUGACAG